UUAUAGUUUGAUCCUGGCUCAGGAUGAACGCUAGCGGCAGGCUUAAUACAUGCAAGUCGAGGGGCAGCACGGUAGCAAUACUGGUGGCGACCGGCGCACGGGUGCGUAACACGUAUACAAUCUACCUAAAACGGGGGGAUAGCCUUUCAAAAGAGAGAUUAAUACCCCGUAAUAUAUAAAAUGGCAUCUUUUUAUAUUGAAAGCUCCGGCGGUUUUAGAUGAGUAUGCGUCUGAUUAGCUAGUAGGUGAGGUAACGGCUCACCUAGGCGACGAUCAGUAGGGGAUCUGAGAGGACUACCCCCCACACUGGUACUGAGACACGGACCACACUCCUACGGGAGGCAGCAGUAAGGAAUAUUGGUCAAUGGGCGCAAGCCUGAACCAGCCAUGCCGCGUGCAGGAAGACGGCCCUAUGGGUUGUAAACUGCUUUUGUACCAAAGAAAACCCUUCUACGUGUAGGAGGUUGAUAGUAUGGUAAGAAUAAGCAUCGGCUAUCUUCGUGCCAGCAGCCGCGGUAAGACGAAGGAUGCAAGCGUUAUCCGGAUUCAUUGUGUUUAAAGGGUGCGUAGGCGCACCUGUAAGUCAGUGAUGAAAUCUCUCAUCUUAACUGAGAAACUGCCAUUGAUACUGCAAGUCUAGAGUAUAGAUGACGUUGGCGGAAUAUGACAUGUAGUGUGAAAUACUUAGAU
rnacentral:rRNA from 1 species